GAUGAACGCUGGCGGCGUGCCUAAUACAUGCAAGUCGAGCGAACGGACGAGAAGCUUGCUUCUCUGAUGUUAGCGGCGGACGGGUGAGUAACACGUGGAUAACCUACCUAUAAGACUGGGAUAACUUCGGGAAACCGGAGCUAAUACCGGAUAAUAUUUUGAACCGCAUGGUUCAAAAGUGAAAGACGGUCUUGCUGUCACUUAUAGAUGGAUCCGCGCUGCAUUAGCUAGUUGGUAAGGUAACGGCUUACCAAGGCAACGAUGCAUAGCCGACCUGAGAGGGUGAUCGGCCACACUGGAACUGAGGCACGGUCCAGACUCCUACGGGAGGCAGCAGUAGGGAAUCUUCCGCAAUGGGCGAAAGCCUGACGGAGCAACGCCGCGUGAGUGAUGAAGGUCUUCGGAUCGUAAAACUCUGUUAUUAGGGAAGAACAUAUGUGUAAGUAACUGUGCACAUCUUGACGGUACCUAAUCAGAAAGCCACGGCUAACUAC
rnacentral:rRNA from 1 species